UACGUAGGGUGCAAGCGUUGUCCGGAAUUAUUGGGCGUAAAGAGCUCGUAGGCGGCUUGUCGCGUCGACUGUGAAAACCCAUGGCUCAACCAUGUGGUCUGCAGUCGAUACGGGCAGGCUAGAAUUCGGUAGGGGAGACUGGAAUUCCUGGUGUAGCGGUGAAAUGCGCAGAUAUCAGGAGGAACACCGGUGGCGAAGGCGGGUCUCUGGGCCGAUAUUGACGCUGAGGAGCGAAAGCGUGGGGAGCGAACAGG
rnacentral:rRNA from 1 species